rfam:Canis lupus familiaris chromosome 27, whole genome shotgun sequence.
AGGAGGAACAGCCCCAGUGGCGGGGCAGCUCUGGAAACCCUGGAUCAGCUCCGGCACGAACUCCGUCUGCUGGGCCUGGAGGCUCCGGGGCGGG